AAAGUGAUUGAGGAAGAUCACAGAUUUCUCAUUGUUUUUCUCAUCUUCUUUUCUUUUUCUGAAUCCUUCCCAUAUUCAUCCAAAGGCAUGCUCAUCCACUUUCUGUAGAGGGUUUAGGGUCGAAUCACCAUCGCUCUCUAUUUUCUCUUCUUCUUCGAUAGCUCCGUCACUCUCUUCUUAUGGAUUGUUGGUCCCUUUCUCUCCCUCUCGACGACGAGUUCAAGAAGCUCGUCAAUCGUAUGAACCCUCACAGGGUUACCAUUGAUAAUGAUUCCAGCAGAAAAGCUACUCCGAUUAAG